rnacentral:snRNA from 1 species
AGAGCCAUGGGUCAGGGGAGAUAACCAUGACAAGAAGGUGGUUUUCUCAUUGUACUCUGGGUGUAUUGAACCUGACGAUUCCCCAAAAUUUGUGAAACUGGACUGCACAAUUUAUGGUAUGGAGGACCACAUUCAUAUUCUCUUCU